UACGUAGGGGGCAAGCGUUGUCCGGAUUUAUUGGGCGUAAAGCGCGCGUAGGCGGCGCGGUAUGUCGUGCGUGAAAUCUCCCGGCUUAACUGGGAGGGGCCGUGCGAAACUGCCGGGCUUGAGGUCAGAAGGGGAAAGUGGAAUUCCGGGUGUAGUGGUGGAAUACGUAGAUAUCCGGAGGAACACCAGCGGCGAAGGCGGCUUUCUGGUCCGAUACUGACGCUGAGGUGCGAAAGCGUGGGGAGCGAUCCGG
rnacentral:rRNA from 1 species